CCAGAAUCCUACGGGAGGCAGCAGUAGGGAAUCUUCCGCAAUGGGCGAAAGCCUGACGGAGCAACGCCGCGUGAGUGAUGAAGGUCUUCGGAUCGUAAAACUCUGUUAUUAGGGAAGAACAAACGUGUAAGUAACUGUGCACGUCUUGACGGUACCUAAUCAGAAAGCCACGGCUAACUACGUGCCAGCAGCCGCGGUAAUACGUAGGUGGCAAGCGUUAUCCGGAAUUAUUGGGCGUAAAGCGCGCGUAGACGGUUUUUUAAGUCUGAUGUGAAAGCCCACGGCUCAACCGUGGAGGGUCAUUGGAAACUGGAAAACUUGAGUGCAGAAGAGGAAAGUGGAAUUCCAUGUGUAGCGGUGAAAUGCGCAGAGAUAUGGAGGAACACCAGUGGCGAAGGCGACUUUCUGGUCUGUAACUGACGCUGAUGUGCGAAAGCGUGGGGAUCAAACAGGAUUAGAUACCCUGGUAGUCCACGCCGUAAACGAUGAGUGCUAAGUGUUAGGGGGUUUCCGCCCCUUAGUGCUGCAGCUAACGCAUUAAGCACUCCGCCUGGGGAGUACGACCGCAAGGUUGAAACUCAAAGGAAUUGACGGGGGCCCGCACAAG
rnacentral:rRNA from 1 species